rnacentral:misc_RNA from 1 species
UUUGGAUCCAGUUUCUGUACUUUAUU